UCCCUGGUGGUCCAGUGGCUAAGACUCCUUGCUCCAGUGCAGGAGGCCCAGGUUCAAUCCUUGGUCAGGGAA
rnacentral:tRNA from 1 species